CCCCGCUGGUGAUGAAGGGGCGUGCGGGCCUGGGUCACAAUUCACAGAGCAUGCGCCGUGCCUCUGCUGUGCCCUCCCACCCUUUCGCUAGCCAGUCCGAUGGCCUCCUUUCUGUGCACGGCAGCCAGACCUUGCGCCGUGACACAUGACACAUUCUUCCUGCUUUUGUGGAACUGUCCUGUCUACGUCCCACAUCUCUGCCUCAAGUUUAACAGGAUCUUGCCAUGUUGUCCAGGCUGGCCUCAAUCCCAUGAGCUUCCUGACUCCCUUCCAGAGUAGCUGGGGCCACAGCCAUGCGCCACCGCCCCCAGCCAUGGGGUUCUCCAGUACCGGGGCUGUUUCAGGGGGAGACUUCUGCUCUGUACCGUUGACUGCAGCUGUAAAGUCACAGCCAUGUGAGACGGAAAGACCCUUAGAGACGAUCUGGUGUCACUCCCAUGUUUUGUGGGCGAGGAAACGGUCAGAAGUGACUUUCACUUUGAAAUUUAUGAGGCCUAUUUGUGUUGACAACAUGAUUGAUCGCUGUGCUUCCGAGACAGAAGAUUUGCAAGAGGAAACAUAAAAACGUCCAUGCUCUUCCUGACGGGAGGGAGAACAAGGGAAAGGCUUGCAUUGCGGCAACUUGCCCCAGCAGCAGAGCAAGAACGCCAGAUCUCCCAGGGCUGCUCCCACGGUCAGCACCGCACGGAGGGCUGGGGAGCCCUGCCACUCCAAGACAGGACAGUGUUCAAAGACCAGAGAUCCCCUCCCCUCCCUGAAAGCGAUUCAGGCAGACAGGAAGGACGGAAGGCUUCCGAAGUGUACCAUGUCCAAACCGUGAGCAGCAGCGCUGGUCCCCCAGAGCGCUUCUCCCGGGGCUCUGCAAUUGCACGUAGACGGGUCUGCCCCGCACACCCGGCUGUGCAGGCUCCCUCUCCGUCCAGCAGGGCUGAAUGAGACCAGAGAGGGAGCCAUGAAAGUGCGGCACGGCUCCGCUUGGGUGUCGUGUGUGCCGGCGCUGUGGUGCCUGAAGGUGGAGACUGAACUUGGAAUCAUUCAGUAAAGACGUGAAAUUAGGAGCCAAAAAAGCGAAAUUGAAACCUGUUUGCCCAGACAAUAGAGAAGAUCAGAAAUGGGAGACUGAUUUUGUGUCUACUGGGAUAGGUAGUGCCUGUUUGCGGCUUUGUCACGAGAAGGACUGUGAGGCUGGGAGCCUGCGCAGGGGACUAGGGACACCCUCGCUAGGACAAGGACGGGGAGGAGGAGAAAGCAUAUGUUUUCUUUAAAAUUUCUUUCUUUCAUGACAGUGAGAGGCAGAGAAAGAGAGAGAGGAAAACAAGCAUCCUCAACACGAUUCCGUGCUCGAUCCUCCCCAGCCUUCCCGACGGGAUCGUGGAGCAUGGGCACGUGCACCUGGCAUGGAGCAAGCACAGGUAGACCAGGGAACCAGGUCCUGGGCUCCACCUGGACCCAGCACGGCCAGCAGCACCGCGCCGCACCCGCAGGCCUGCUGUCUUCUUGAUUGAACUCGUGUUACCCACGGGCUACCUGUAUAGACUUACAAAGUCCAUAGUGCCUCCAAGGCUUUUAGUGCAAAAUAGCAGUCCUCAUCCCACAGUCUCGCCAGCAGGUUCGUUCUCCUCUUCGAAGAAGCUGUGCUAAUAAACUGUGGUUAGAGAGUGCUGCGGAAAUAUUAAAGUGCAGCGGUCAUUCUGUGAAAAAUUAAGGGGGGUUUGAAGAUAAAAGCAACAAGCUGUAGGCACCAGACAGAAAAUACAGAAAAUAAAAUAUAAACCUGCUUUUGUAACCCUUCUAGGAUGGCAUACAUGGAAAGAAAUGAGAAGGGUGGGGUGGCUGAACGAUGAACACUGUCCACCCCCCAGAACGAAGCCCUGAGAGGAGACGGAGCCUUCAUGGAGGGAAUGGUGGGAGAGAGCCCUGGGAGGGGUAAUUAGGCCUGGGGUGUGUUCCACAAACGGGAGGGGCAGGUUGGCUGAAGCAUCUGGCCAUCAGAAGUCCUAACGAUGUCACCAUUGCCCUAAAAGCUCCUGGUAGGAGGUGCCUCAUAGACCUAGUAGUGACAACGGGCCCCCACUCAGCCUGAGGGGAGGGACAGUUCUAGUCACUCCCAGCCUGUCGAAGAUCCUCUUCCCUGGUAUUUCUCUGUUCCUGGGUGUGGGCUGCAGGCAAGGCCCUGGCCGUGGCACAAAGUACUCCUGCGUUUACACUGAUGAUCAUCUGAUUUUUCUUUCCUAGUUCUCAAUAUGGCAAAUUACAUUACUUUUUUAACAUGCACUUGCCAGAGAGAGAGAGCAAAGAGGCCUCCUGGGGAGAGGGAGAAAGCACCCCCCAGUGGGGUGCGGUCAGGCCACAGUCACUCCUCCAUCUCUGAGACACACACACACACACACACACACACACACACACACGCACGCACACACACACACGCACACACACACACACACACACACACGCACACGCACACACGGUGCUUUUCAGAAAGCUGGAUUCGGGAUUCAAGACACUCAAUUGGCCAUG